rnacentral:rRNA from 1 species
AGCAGCCGCGGUAAUUCCAGCUCCAAUAGCGUAUAUUAAAGUUGUUGCAGUUAAAAAGCUCGUAGUUGAAUUUCGGGAUCAAGUCGUCGGUCGUGCUCAGGUACGUACUGGCGUCAUUGAUUUCUCCCUUCUGACGAACCAUGAUGUCAUUAACUUGGUGUCAUGGGAAAUCAGGACUGUUACUUUGAAAAAAUUAGAGUGUUUAAAGCAGGCUCACGCUUGAAUACAUUAGCAUGGAAUAAUGAAAUAGGACGUUCGAUCCUAUUUUGUUGGUUUUAGGAUCAACGUAAUGAUUAAUAGGGAUAGUUGGGGGCAUUAGUAUUCAAUUGUCAGAGGUGAAAUUCUUGGAUUUAUUGAAGACUAACUACUGCGAAAGCAUUUGCCAAGGAUGUUUUCAUUAAUCAAGAACGAAAGUUAGGGGGUCGAAGACGAUCAGAUACCGUCGUAGUCUUAACCAUAAACUAUGCCGACUAGGGAU